rnacentral:rRNA from 1 species
ACGGGUGCGUAACGCGUGGGAAUCUGCCCUUAGGUUCGGAAUAACAGCUGGAAACGGCUGCUAAUACCGGAUGAUAUCGCGAGAUCAAAGAUUUAUCGCCUGAGGAUGAGCCCGCGUUGGAUUAGGUAGUUGGUGGGGUAAAGGCCUACCAAGCCGACGAUCCAUAGCUGGUCUGAGAGGAUGAUCAGCCACACUGGGACUGAGACACGGCCCAGACUCCUACGGGAGGCAGCAGUGGGGAAUAUUGGACAAUGGGCGCAAGCCUGAUCCAGCAAUGCCGCGUGAGUGAUGAAGGCCCUAGGGUUGUAAAGCUCUUUUACCCGGGAAGAUAAUGACUGUACCGGGAGAAUAAGCCCCGGCUAACUCCGUGCCAGCAGCCGCGGUAAUACGGGGGGGCUAGCGUUGUUCGGAAUUACUGGGCGUAAAGCGCACGUAGGCGGCUUUGUAAGUCAGAGGUGAAAGCCUGGAGCUCAACUCCGGAACUGCCUUUGAGACUGCAUCGCUUGAAUCCAGGAGAGGUCAGUGGAAUUCCGAGUGUAUAGGUGAAAUUCGUAGA